CUUUUGAAUUGCUAGAACAGAGGAGCCGAACUCAGAUACGCAGAGGAGCCAGGAAAUCAUUAUGGAUGACAAAUCUGUUACUGACUGUAACACAGGAGCUGGACUCCUGGCAGGCUCUUGGAUUUGGUGCGGCUGAAAACAGACAACGGAACCACAGCCUAACUUCAUUUUCGAGCUGAGGUCAUCGAUGAGCUUCCACGUCGCUCCGCGGAAGGCGUUCGGCUAGUUCGGGCUGCGUUGCUUCACGCGGAAGUGGGCUGAAGGCGCAGGUGUGUGUCGACUUCCUUAUUCUGUUGCCGACAUGGCCGACUCUGACCCCCGC